UUGAAAUCUGGCUCCUUUGGGGUCCGAGUUGUAAUUUGCAGAGGGAGCUUUUGGCGUCGGUCGUGGUCUAAGUUCCUUGGAACAGGACGUCACAGAGGGUGAGAAUCCCGUACGUGGCCGCCGGCCUUCGCCUUGUAAAGCCCCUUCGACGAGUCGAGUUGUUUGGGAAUGCAGCUCUAAAUGGGAGGUAAAUUUCUUCUAAAGCUAAAUACCCGCCAGAGACCGAUAGCGCACAAGUAGAGUGAUCGAAAGAUGAAAAGCACUUUGGAAAGAGAGUGAAAAAGCACGUGAAAUUGUUGAAAGGGAAGCGCUUGCGGCCAGACGUGCCCGCGGUUGAUCAUCCAGGCUCCAGCCUGGUGCACUCCUCCGCGGGCAGGCCAGCAUCAGUUCGGGCGGUCGGAUAAAGGCCUCUAUCACGUACCACCCCUCGGGGUGGCCUUAUAGGGGAGGCGCAACACGGCCAGCCCGGACUGAGGUUCCGCGCAUCUGCUAGGAUGCUGGCGUAAUGGCAGCAAGCGGCCCGUCUUGAAACACGGACCAAGGAGUCUAACAUCUAUGCGAGUGUUUGGGUGUCAAGCCCGAGCGCGCAAUGAAAGUGAACGGAGGUGGGAACCCUUACCGGUGCACCAUCGACCGAUCCUGAUGUCUUCGGAUGGAUUUGAGUAAGAGCAUAGCUGUUGGGACCCGAAAGAUGGUGAACUAUGCCUGAAUAGGGUGAAGCCAGAGGAAACUCUGGUGGA
rnacentral:rRNA from 1 species